GUGCCAGAUAGCAUGCAUGUCUAAGUAUAAGCAAUUAUACGGUGAAACUGCGAAUGGCUCAUUAAAUCAGUUAUCGUUUAUUUGAUAGUACCUUACUACAUGGAUAACCGUGGUAAUUCUAGAGCUAAUACAUGCUAAAAACCUCGACUUCGGAAGGGGUGUAUUUAUUAGAUAAAAAACCAAUGCCCUUCGGGGCUCCUUGGUGAAUCAUAAUAACUUAACGAAUCGCAUGGCCUUGCGCCGGCGAUGGUUCAUUCAAAUUUCUGCCCUAUCAACUUUCGAUGGUAGGAUAGUGGCCUACCAUGGUAUCAACGGGUAACGGGGAAUUAGGGUUCGAUUCCGGAGAGGGAGCCUGAGAAACGGCUACCACAUCCAAGGAAGGCAGCAGGCGCGCAAAUUACCCAAUCCCGACACGGGGAGGUAGUGACAAUAAAUACUGAUACAGGGCUCUUUUGGGUCUUGUAAUUGGAAUGAGUACAAUUUAAAUCCCUUAACGAGGAACAAUUGGAGGGCAAGUCUGGUGCCAGCAGCCGCGGUAAUUCCAGCUCCAAUAGCGUAUAUUAAAGUUGUUGCAGUUAAAAAGCUCGUAGUUGAACCUUGGGCCUGGCUGGCCGGUCCGCCUCACCGCGUGUACUGGUCCGGCCGGGCCUUUCCUUCUGGGGAACCUCAUGCCCUUCACUGGGCGUGUUGGGGAACCAGGACUUUUACUUUGAAAAAAUUAGAGUGUUCAAAGCAGGCCUUUGCUCGAAUACAUUAGCAUGGAAUAAUAGAAUAGGACGUGUGGUUCUAUUUUGUUGGUUUCUAGGACCGCCGUAAUGAUUAAUAGGGAUAGUCGGGGGCAUCAGUAUUCAAUCGUCAGAGGUGAAAUUCUUGGAUUGAUUGAAGACUAACUACUGCGAAAGCAUUUGCCAAGGAUGUUUUCAUUAAUCAGUGAACGAAAGUUAGGGGAUCGAAGACGAUCAGAUACCGUCGUAGUCUUAACCAUAAACUAUGCCGACUAGGGAUCGGACGGUGUUAGUAUUUUGACCCGUUCGGCACCUUACGAGAAAUCAAAGUUUUGGUCUGGGAGAGGCGA
rnacentral:rRNA from 1 species